CCGGGAUGUUCAUAACCCUUUGUUGUCCGACUCUGUUGCCUCCGGGGCGACCCUGCCUUCGGGCGGGGGCUCCGGGUGGACACUUCAAACUCUUGCGUAACUUUGCAGUCUGAGUAAACUUAAUUAAUAAAUUAAAACUUUUAACAACGGAUCUCUUGGUUCUGGCAUCGAUAAGAACGCAGCCACUCAUUACAGUGACCGGUCUAACCACCGGGAUGUUCAUAACCCUUUGUUGUCCGACUCUUUGCCUCCGGGGCGACCCUGCCUUCGGGCGGGGGCUCCGGUGGACACUUCAACUCUUGCGUAACUUUGCAGUCUGAGUAAACUUAAUUAAUAAAUUAAA
rnacentral:misc_RNA from 1 species